UAAGUAGGGGGCAAGCGUUAUCCGGAAUUACUGGGUGUAAAGGGUGAGUAGGCGGUUAAAUAAGCCAUAUGUGAAAGUCUGUAGCUCAACUAUAGAAUUGCAUAAGGAACUGUGUAACUAGAGUGCAGGAGAGGUAAGUGGAAUUCCUAGUGUAGCGGUGAAAUGCGUAGAUAUUAGGAGGAACACCAGUGGCGAAGGCGACUUACUGGACUGAAACUGACGCUGAGACACGAAAGCGUGGGGAGCAAACAGG
rnacentral:rRNA from 1 species